AUGGUGUCAGUUUCUGCAAUGAAGUUUCGAAAUUUAGAGUGUGUUUUGGAGAUUAUAUCUCUUAUCCCUCCUGUUGACACAUGGAGAGUAACUCCAUGUGUCACUAAGGCUGCUGUUUUGUGUAGAGAUUUUGGAAGUAUUGGUUUUCCUUCACAAACCAUCAAGUCAUCUUUUAGUUUCGCUCCACAUUUCAGCCAUUUCUUUUGCUCAGCUGUGGGAGCUGCUUUUUGUUCAUCCUUUGUCAGUAAAAUUGUUUCCCUUUGUAAUUUCAUAGUCAUUCUUCUGAUGUGCUGCACACUUGCAAAUUGCUAAAUGUCGCAUCACAUGAGGAGUUUCCUCCCAUGUAAACAGAUGUGUGCCAUGAUAAAACCUUCUCCACACACUAGAAACAAAAAACUAAUUUCAACCGUUGUUACAUCUUAUUCACUUAUUUUAUAAUACAGUUAUUUUUCAAAUCUAAUAUCAAUCAACUAAUUUGCAUAUCAGCUUAUAAUGCACUAAAUUGACAGGUCAACAGAAAUGCACGUUCAAAAGAUUAUCACAAAAGAGAAUUUCCUCCAUACAGUAAAUUACUUGUGUUGCAUCAAUCAAGCAGAAAGCAUCUCACAAUUUAUUGUAUUACCAACUAAAUUUAUUGUCUGGUCACUGCUUGGUCAUACCAGACUCUCUGUGUCUUUAUUUUUCCUUCUCUGUUUUCACAAACGUUUCACCUAUUGUCCUGCAAGCUGGAGAGUUAAAUGUCAGUAGUGGGUAAAUUCAGCAGUUGAUAACAAAACUAUUAAGUUUUCCCUGUUUUAACACCAAUGUGAGAUAUAGAGGCGCACAUAUAGUGUGUGCUCUAGUGUAAGCUGCUCUUUAUUGCAUGUAUGUGUGUUAGUACGCUUGCAUGCAGGGCCUCUGGGCCUGUCUCACCCAAAAGGGCAUUUUCUUAACAGUUGCCUUUCACUCGCGUGUGUUAAGAAAGGCAAAUGUGCUUGUAGCAGUUGUGAGAUUAUUAUGCUGUCAUAUAUUACAUUAUACCUGUAAUCAAAAUGAGUGAAUCAUGAUACUGCUGUAGGCCACAUCAUACUUCUUGUAUAAUCAUGAUGUAGUUUUAGUUUGCAUCACACUUCUGAGUUAAAAGAAUGUGAAAAUCAUUAGAUUUAUAAAAUAGGUUUGUAUUAUCCUAUACUGCUGAUUCACUGCUGAUUUACUGUGAGUGAGUUACAUUGUUUCAUGACAUUUCAUACUGCCGAGUUAUGAAGAGAAUAUUGUAUUCAGAGAGUAGGGGCCUCUCUCUUUUUUUUUUCUUUGUGAUAGUAAAGAGAACAGAGCACAUGCCACGGGAGCGUCACCCCCACCCUUGGUGGAAGCAGAAAAACAGGGAGCCAAGGUCAUAACUCAGGCUCACAAAGAGUCAGAAAGAUUGUGAAUACUUAGUUUUGUGGCUGUGGCGCAUUUUGUAUGGCUUCUUUUCUUUGUUUAGUAGCUUUCUGCCUUCACCUGAGGGUGUGCCCUAAGCAUGUGACUUCAGGUCUCCAUAAUUGGAGUUUAUUUAAAGAUAAAUAAGAUGAUUUCAUAUAUUGCUCGCAGAUCAUGCACUAGACGGUAUGUUGCAGUAUUAGCCUGCUUCAACACUUAAACAAAACAUCACUCUUUGUUUUAUUAUUAUUAUUAUUAUCCUGUCUCAAAACAGAAAAUGAAAUUGUAGUUGUUCUUGGCUGAGAAACACAAAACCUCUCCUUUUUUUCUUCUUUUUUUUCAAAACAAGAAACUAAGUUUUAAUUUCUCAGCCUUGUCACAUAAAACAAAACAGAUAACCCAGCUCUCAGCUGGCUCUGGACUUAUCAUCAUCAAGGACACAAAAAGAAAAAGCUGCUGCCAGAAACAGAGCAGAAGUGUGAGGAAAAAACUGAGCUCACAGACAGCUGCAUGUGUGACCUUUAAUAUGCAGCUUCUGCUCUAAAAAACAAAUAAAAAUAAAAAAAUGUGUAACUUGCUCAUCAGCUUGGUAGUGUCCACAUAUUUAAUUCAUUUUAUUCAGCUUCUCAAACCUGUAGCUUUAGCUGUUGUAUACAGGGUUUGGCUUAUUAGUUGUUAGUAUAGGUUUGCUCUUCAUCUUAACAAAGUCUCAUCUAAGAUGACAGGUUUACAAGCAGGUCAAGUGUCUCUAUGCACCUGAUUAGUGUAGUUAUUUCCUUAUUUUCUUCAUCUCAUAUAUCAUUGUACUGAGUUUGAGCAAACCUUAAGCUUGAAUCAGACUACUUUUAACAAUCUUCCACCUCGCAUCAUAACUGACUGAGGUGCCUCUUCCUAUUAAUAGUAUGUCAUUAUUAAUGUUAUCAUUGUAUUGUUUUUCCUUUUUUAUAACAGCAAUAGUAUAUUACAAUACACUACUUUACUACUAAUAUACAAUAGUUUAUUAUUUUAUAUUUUAUUAUGUAUCCAUCACGGGUCUGUGUGAACCUGCAGCUUCACACCUUCCCAAGCUGGAGACAUUUUCCUUGGCUGAACAAUG
rnacentral:lncRNA from 1 species